ensembl:lncRNA
UAGUCUCCGCCUCCCCGCCCUCCCCAUCUGGCACUUCGCGGCCACCGCAGCUACCGGGACGCUCCUGGAGCUCUGGGUCCUAGGCACCUGGAGGUGUGAGCGCUGCUCUGCGCCACACCAGUUGCCACAAAGGAGGACCGGAGUGCUCUGCGUGGGCGUGAGACCCGACCUCGGUCAGGUGGUGGAGCAGCUUCUGAGACCUGGGGUUUUUCAGGAACUAACUUGCCCAGUUCUUGGGAACAGAGAUUCUGGCCUAGUCUCCUGAACUGCCAAUUUGAAGCCUGUCCUGGAGUCAGCCUGUCUCAGACUAAAAUGGAGAAGGACACUUUCUGGAAGUUGCACAUCACAUCUGCAGGCACCCAAAAGCCGGGCUCCAUUUUCAUCUGGUUAAAGAAAGGUUACCAUGUAGAAAACAUGACUUAUAUGUACUUGGCAAAAAGAAUAGACAAAGGGAUAAAAUACUCAACCUCCUCAGGAUCAUAAUAUUUUUCAGACAUGAAGACAGAACUUGCUACACUUGGUAGAACUGAAGAAGUAUGUCAUAAGUAAGAGCUGUGUGUUGAAACAGGACAAGAGGAAGAAAGAUGUGGGCUUUAAACCUUUUGAUGAAUUUAUUACAACUGAAGGAGAUCAUGGGAAAACAAUUUGGAAAGGAAGAAGUUAAAGUAUCUUUAUUUGCAGACAAUAUGGUCAAAUACAUAAGUGAUCCUAAAACUUUGACCAGGAAACUCCUGCAACUGAGCUGGGGACUGAACCCAGGGCCUUGUGCUUCCUAGGCAAGCGCUCUACCACUGAGCUAAAUCCCCAACCCUUUAACAUAUUUCUUAAACAGGAAACGCAGAUGUCUGAGAAACACUUAAAAUAAAUGUUAAGUGGGUUUUGUCACAAGGAAAUGCAAAUCUGCUCUACUUUGCAAUAUCAUCUGUACCUGUCAGAAUGGCUAAAACCAAUAAAAUAAAUGACAGGUCAUGCUUCCAUGUAUGUAGAAUAACUGAAGCCCUCAUUUCUUGCUGGAUCAGUGUGGCAGUUCCUCAAGAAGAUGAGAAUUGAUGUAUCUCAAGAUCCAGCUAUAGCACUCUUUCAAUUUAUCCAGAGAAUGCUUCAUUUUACCACAGACUCAUCUGCUCGACCAUAUUUGUUCAUAAUAACCAGAAGUUAGAAAUAACUUAGAUGUCCAUCUAUAGAAGAGUGAAUAAAUGUGAUAUAUAUAUAUAUAUAUAUAUAUAUAUAUAUAUAUAUAUUUGCCUGAGCACAUUUAAGCAAUUCUCUACUGUGUGAUUGUGCUCAGUCAUUAAAAAAAAUCACAUUAAAAAUUUAAGGUAAAUGGAAGGACAUAGAAGAAAGCAUCCUGAAGUAGCACAGAUCCAGAGAGACAGAUAUGGUAUGUAUUCACUUGUAUGUAGAUAUUAGCUGUUAAAUCAAUAGGACCACAGAAUUUACAGAUAGAUUAAGCCAUUAGAAGGACAAAUAGAUCUUGCUAGGGAAGAGAAAUAGAGUUUGGAUAGAUGGGAGAAGGGACUUGUAGGAUGAUGUCAUAGGUGAGGCAGGUACAAGAUAGAAGGAGGCCUGUUAUUGGAUGAGAAGGAAGGAUGGGCGGGAGAAAAGUUUGAAGGAAGAGGAAGAGACUGGAACAGAAAGGAAGAAGAGACAGGAGGGACAGGGAAAGAAGCCAUGGCAGGACAAUGUGGCAGGUGAUGUUAAGAUUCCACGCUGACAACGACUUUAUGAAAUUCAUAGGCAAAUGGAGGGAACUGGAAAAUAUCAUCCUGAGUGAGCUAACCCAAUCACAGAAAAACACACAUGGUAAGCACUCAUUGAUAAGUGGAUAUUAGCCCAAAUGCUUGAAUUACCCUAGAUGCACAGAACACAUGAAACUCAAGAAGGAUGACCAAAAUGCAAAUGCUUCACUCCUUCUUUAAAAGGGGAACAAGAAUACCCUUGGGAGUGAAUAGGGAGGCAAAGUUUAGACCAGAGACUGAAGGAACACCCAUUCAGAGCCUGCCCCACAUGUGGCCCAUACAUAUACAGCCUCCAAACUAGAUAAGAUGGAUGAAGCAAAGAGGUGCAAGCUGACAGGAACUGGAUGUAGAUCUGUCCUGAGAGACACAGCCAG